rnacentral:siRNA from 1 species
AGCAAUUGAUGGUUUAGAUUGAA